GGCUGUGUAGUAUUUCGGCCCUGGCUUCUGCGGACACCGUCUUCCCGCUUGUCCCAGGUUU
rnacentral:tRNA from 1 species